CUUUCUGGGAAACAUCAGACGGUGGAGCGCCCUCUAGUCACAAGUAGUCGUCUGCGUUCCUGGGAAGAUGGUGAAACAGCGCCACAAACAUUAUAGUCAAACCUCGAGGAAAUCGACUGCAAGCUCAACUAUUUAGCAAACGGAAUGCAAAACUUUGAAUAUCAACUCUGUGACUACUGUAACGUUGCUUGGACAGAAAUUAACCAUGCUUAGAAAGGAAGUGCCGGAACCGGUUCGUCCUCCUUCAACGUAAUCCAUAAGGCAAGAUCCUCGACUUGUCAAAUCUACAAAUGAUCUCUCUAGACUCCUCGGUAAUUUGUGCCGGACUCCACACAAAAGUCUUCAAGAUUUUUUUUCACUGACUGCUGAAAAACAUUUUUUAAUGAAAUGUUCAACGUGUAAGCAUGAAUAUUCAUGAUCAAAUAUCGACAUUCAAAUCUACAAAUCAUCUCGCAUUGUGCAAGAAGAAUUUUUAUUGACUGCCGUCAAUAUUUUAUCUAUCAAGCAUUUAUAGCUCUGAACUAAAAAGUAGAAAAUGUCACAAGACAAUUUAUGUUCAAACCCGUGUCUUCUGUCAUUUUACCAAAUUUGGCCCUAUUUUGGCAUAUGAUUAUAUAUAUUUUUUUGUAGAUCUAUUCGUAAAUUAUUAUAAAAUGACCAGUGUUUGUCGAUUCUGAUAUGUAUAUAGUCUGAUAUUUACCAGGGAUUGAAAGAAAGAAAAUUUAAAAUGGAUGAUUAUACAAACAUAUCGAUGUAACUCAUUGCAGACUUGGAGCGGUCUUCUGCGCAUGCCCGAAAGUGAUUAUCAGUAGAUCUAUGUCGUAAAUACUGUCGUAAAAUAUCAGAAUCUUCUUUUGGUAACACAUGCCCUAGCCUAGUUCAAAUCUUAGUAUAUGCUUAAGAAAUAACAGAUUCCAGCUGAAUAUACAUUGUGCUGCAUUUGACAUUAAAAUCCGUUCCCGACCAUUCUGUUUACAAUACAGAACAACCGUGACGUCAUCUAAGGAACGGUUUCCCUGACUAUACGCGGACGUCGUCAAUACAGCUGUCUGUUAUCACUAAGCAGCCUUGUUUUUAUUUUGGUGCCCUUUGGUUGCGACAUUAGCGGCGUUGCGUUGCGACAUUUAACGUUGCCACACACCUCAUUCCUGAUGGAAUUCAUCGCCACGAGGGUAUGAGAGAACAGGCCAGUUUCCCUUUUAAUGCUGAGCGCCAAGCAAGAGAGCAGCUGAUACCAUUUUUCACCGUUUACGUUUACCUAACGUCGCUAUGGUAAUUCCUGGCGGAGAUGCGGGGCCUUUGUUUAAAAUGUAGCUGCCACAUUAUCCAUUAUAAACAGAAAAUACAUUUAACAUUUUGUUAAAUUUCCUAUUUAUGAUAAUUAAGUUCUAUAAAAAUUGUCAAAGUUUUAAAUAUUGCUGAAUAUACUAGAAUCUUUUGUUAA